rnacentral:rRNA from 1 species
AUUGAACGCUGGCGGCAUGCCUUACACAUGCAAGUCGAACGGCAGCACGGGAGCAAUCCUGGUGGCGAGUGGCGAACGGGUGAGUAAUAUAUCGGAACGUGCCCGGUCGUGGGGAUAACGUAGCGAAAGCUACGCUAAUACCGCAUACGAUCUACGGAUGAAAGCGGGGGAUCGCAAGACCUCGCGCGAUUGGAGCGGCCGAUAUCAGAUUAGGUAGUUGGUGAGGUAAAGGCUCACCAAGCCGACGAUCUGUAGCUGGUCUGAGAGGACGACCAGCCACACUGGGACUGAGACACGGCCCAGACUCCUACGGGAGGCAGCAGUGGGGAAUUUUGGACAAUGGGCGGCAAGCCUGAUCCAGCAAUGCCGCGUGCAGGAUGAAGGGCCUCGGUUGGUAAC